rnacentral:rRNA from 1 species
UACGGAGGGUGCGAACGUUAAUCGGAAUUACUGGGCGUAAAGAGCGCGCAGGCGGCCGAGUAAGUCGAAUGUGAAAGCCCCCGGCUCAACUGGGGAAGGUCAUUCGAUACUGUUCGGCUUGAAGAUAGGAGAGGGAAGCGGAAUUUCAGGUGUAGUGGUGAAAUGCGUAGAUAUCUGAAGGAACACCAGUGGCGAAAGCGACUUCCUGGACCAAUACUGACGCUCAUGUGCGAAAGCGUGGGGAGCAAACAGG